rnacentral:rRNA from 1 species
UUCCUUCGGNGCAACAAGUAAACCGGCGCACGGGUGAUUAACACGUGGGUAACCUGCCUCGAAGACCGGGAUAACACACCGAAAGGUGUGCUAAUACCGGAUAACCCUGCUUCUCACAAGAGGAGCAGGAAAAGGGGGCCUCUACUUGUAAGCUUCCACUUCGAGAUGGGCCCGCGGCCUAUCAGGUAGUUGGUGGGGUAACGGCCUACCAAGCCUACGACGGGUAGCUGGNCUGAGAGGAUGGUCAGCCACACUGGAACUGAGACACGGUCCAGACUCCUACGGGAGGCANCNGUGGGGAAUAUUGGNCAAUGGGGGAAACCCUGACCCAGCGACGCCGCGUGGAGGAUGAAGGCCUCCGGGUCGUAAACUCCUGUCAGAGGGGAAGAAGGUUGCAAGGCUAAUACCCUUGUUAACUUGACGGUACCCUCAGAGGAAGCACCGGCUAACUACGUGCCANCAGCCGCGGUAAUACGUAGGGUGCANGCGUUGNUCGGAAUUACUGGGCGUAAAGCGUGCGUANGCNGCUUUGUAAGUCCGUUGUGAAAGCCCACGGCUCAACCGUGGAACUGCAAUGGAUACUGCAAAGCUAGAGUGCGGGAGAGGCAAGCGGAAUUCCUGGUGAAAG